rnacentral:rRNA from 1 species
UACGGGGGGGGCAAGCGUUGUUCGGAUUUACUGGGCGUAAAGGGCGCGUAGGCGGUCAGCACAAGUCAGUUGUGAAAUCUCCGGGCUUAACUCGGAAAGGUCAACUGAUACUGUGCGACUAGAGUGCAGAAGGGGCAACUGGAAUUCUCGGUGUAGCGGUGGAAUGCGUAGAUAUCGAGAGGAACACCUGCGGCGAAGGCGGGUUGCUGGGCUGACACUGACGCUGAUGCGCGAAAGCCAGGGGAGCGAACGGG